AAUAGAUACCCGGGUAGUCCACGCCGUAAACGAUGAAUACUAGGUGUGGGGGUUGUCAUGACCUCCGUGCCGCCGCUAACGCAUUAAGUAUUCCGCCUGGGGAGUACGGUCGCAAGAUUAAAACUCAAAGGAAUUGACGGGGGGCCCGCACAAGCAGCGGAGCAUGUGGUUUAAUUCGAAGCAACGCGAAGAACCUUACCUAGACUUGACAUCUCCUGAAUUACUCUGUAAUGGAGGAAGCCCUUCGGGGCAGGAAGACAGGUGGUGCAUGGUUGUCGUCAGCUCGUGUCGUGAGAUGUUGGGUUAAGUCCCGCAACGAGCGCAACCCUUAUUGUUAGUUGCUACCAUUUAGUUGAGCACUCUAGCGAGACUGCCCGGGUUAACCGGGAGGAAGGUGGGGAUGACGUCAAAUCAUCAUGCCCCUUAUGUCUAGGGCUACACACGUGCUACAAUGGCUGGUACAGAGAGAUGCAAUACCGUGAGGUGGAGCCAAACUUUAAAACCAGUCUCAGUUCGGAUUGUAGGCUGAAACUCGCCUAC
rnacentral:rRNA from 1 species